rnacentral:rRNA from 1 species
AUGGCGACCAGGUGCGCCGCCGCGGCCGAUCUGCCCGCCGGCCGCCCCCGCAAGCGGGCCCGCCACGGCUGGGACGUCGCGCCAGCGACCAAGGCUCAGAUAACAUUUUGUGGGCAAGAAGUUGGCGAUAUGACCACCAUGGUAUUGCCGUCACAUCCUCCGGACUAUACUUGCUUCUCUCUGCUCUCAAAGGGUGUUGCUCGAAAUGCUUCCCCUCCUCGGAGAGAAGACGAUAAAGAUGGCCAUUAUGUAUUUGCUGUUGGAGAGAAUUUGACCUCUCGCUAUAAAAUAUACAGAAAGAUGGGCGAAGGUACUUUUGGUCAGGUACUGGAAUGUUGGGACAGAGAAAGAAAAGAAAUGGUAGCUAUUAAAAUUGUUCGUGCUGUAAACAAAUACAGUGACGCAGCAAUGAUAGAGAUUGAUGUGCUGCAGAAGCUCGCAAGAAAUGACGCCACAGGAAAACACUGUGUGCAAAUACGGAACUGGUUUGACUAUCGUAACCAUAUUUGUAUUGUAUGCGAGAAGCUUGGCCCAAGCUUGUAUGACUUUCUGCGGAAAACUGCCUACCGCCCAUUUCCAAUCGACCUAGUUCGUGAGCUUGGAGAGCAACUUUUGGAAUCUGUCGCAUUUAUGCAUGGCCUGAAGUUAAUUCAUACUGAUCUAAAACCAGAGAACAUUCUCCUUGUUUCUUCAGAGGAUGCUAAAUUAGCUGAAAACAAGGAUGGAUCAUUCUCAAAGAAGGUGCCAAAAUCAAGUGCGAUCAAGUUAAUCGACUUUGGUAGCACAGCAUAUGAUCAUCAAGACUGUAGCUACAUUGUCUCUACUAGGCACUACCGUGCUCCUGAGGUUAUUUUGGGGCACGGGUGGAGCUAUCCAUGUGAUAUAUGGAGCAUUGGUUGUAUACUCGUUGAGCUUUGCUCGGGCGAGACAUUAUUCCAGACCCAUGAAAACUUGGAGCACUUGGCGAUGAUGGAGAGGGUUCUAGGUCCUCUCCCACGGCACAUGCUGGAAAGAGCCGACCACCAUGCGCAGAAGUACAUCAGAAGAGGAAGGUUGAACUGGCCAGAAGGUGCAACGACACGAGAGAGCAUGAGAGCUGUUCUCAAGCUGCCUCGCCUCCAGAACCUGGUGAUGCAGCAUGUGGAUCACUCUGCUGGGGACCUGAUCGGGCUGCUGCAGGGCCUCCUGGCAUACGAGCCUUCGGCCAGGCUGACCGCUCAGGAAGCCCUGAGCCACCGCUUCUUCAGGAGGCACCGUGAAAGGCGGUCGCUAUGA